rnacentral:lncRNA from 1 species
AUUUAUCCUACAAGAUUUCCUCUCAACCCAUACACAAGCAUGCAUGUGCAUGCAUCCAUGCACAACUGUUCAUGCAACCACAAUGCUGGAAGAAGGUAUUCCCUCUGAAGAUCACAAGCACCAUAACCACACAAAACAGAGGUUAAAGUUACCUUGGUUUCUUUUUUAAUUUUCUAUUUCCAUUGCUGUGUUCAUCUCCAGAUGACUGAGAUGCAGCCGAGUUAUCAGAAUCACUCAAGCUCUGAUCUUCAUCCUCCGUCAGAAGUUCAAAAUGCUCCGCCACCAAAGAAGGUUGCUUCAUGGAAGCCAUGGGAUGUAAAGCCA